rnacentral:rRNA from 1 species
GUAGGGUCCGAGCGUUGUCCGGAAUUAUUGGGCGUAAAGGGCUCGUAGGCGGUUAGUCACGUCGGGAGUGAAAACUCAGGGCUCAACCCUGAGCGUGCUUCCGAUACGGGCUGACUAGAGGUAUGCAGGGGAGAACGGAAUUCCUGGUGUAGCGGUGGAAUGCGCAGAUAUCAGGAGGAACACCGGUGGCGAAGGCGGUUCUCUGGGCAUUACCUGACGCUGAGGAGCGAAAGCAUGGGGAGCGAACAGGAUUAGAUACCCUGGUAGUCCAUGCCGUAAACGUUGGGCGCUAGGUGUGGGGUCCUUCCACGGAUUCCGUGCCGCAGCUAACGCAUUAAGCGCCCCGCCUGGGGAGUACGGCCGCAAGGCUAAA